AGUUCAACUAUAAAUACUGGAAUAUUCCCAUCAGUCCACAAGUGAAGACGAGCUUCAGACCAUCAGGAGGAAGAGAAAUCUGAAAGGCCGAGUUUAUUGAAGGAAAGAGAGAACAUGAGUGAUCAUGAACCUUUCAGAUUUAAACUGGAAGAGACUGAAGAACAAACAGACCUUAAAGAAAAUGAGAAGAGGGAAGAGCAGACACUCGUAAAAGCUGGGAAAACAUCUCAUUUACUGACUGGAGGUAUUUUUUCAAUGGAAAGUGGAGACCGAAAUGAUUUUACCUGCAGUCAGUGUGGAAAGAGUUUGAGAGGCAAACAGAGUCUUAAGAUUCACAUGAGGAUCCACACUGGAGAGAAACCAUGCACAUGUACUCAGUGUGGGAAGAGUUUGAGAGACAAACAGAGUCUUAAGAUUCAUAUGAGGAUCCACACUGGAGAGAAACCAUGCACAUGUACUCAGUGUGGGAAGAGUUUCAGAGAUUUAUCAAACCUUAAUAAACACAUGCGUAUCCACACUGGAGAGAAAACUCACAAAUGUGAUCAAUGCGGCAAAACAUUUUAUUGGGCUUCAGAGCUGAAGAUCCAUCUUAGAGUUCACACAAAGGAGAAACCUUAUUCCUGUUCUGAGUGUGGAAAGAGUUUUACACGGAUAACAAAUUUAAAAACCCAUCAGAAGAUCCACACUGGUGUGAAAGAGUAUCUGUGCUUUGAGUGUGAGAAGACUUUUAUUACAGCUGGAGAAUUGAAACUGCAUCAGAUGAAUCACACUGGAGAGAAACCAUACAAGUGUUCACACUGCAAUAAGAGAUUCAGUCACACAGGACACCUGAAAACACAUGAGAGGAUUCACACUGGAGAGAAACCUUACAGGUGUUCACACUGCAAUAAGAGAUUCAGUCAGACAGGACACCUGAAAACACAUGAGAGGAUUCACACUGGAGAGAAACCGUACGCCUGCAGUCAGUGUGGAAAGAGUUUAAAAGGCAAAAAGAGUCUUAAAAUUCACUUGAGGAUCCACACUGGAGAGAAACCAUUUACCUGUACUCAAUGUGGGAAGAGUUUCACACAAUUAUCAAGCCUUAAUCUACACAUGAUGAUUCACACUGGAGAGAGACCACACAAUUGUGAUCAAUGCGGCAAAACAUUUUACAGGGCUACAGAGCUGAAGAUCCAUCUUAGAGUUCACACAAAGGAGAAACCUUAUUCCUGUUCUGAGUGUGGAAAGAGUUUUACACAGCAGACAAAUUUAAGAACACAUCAGAAGAUCCAUAUUGGUGUGAAAGAGUAUCUGUGCUUUGAGUGUGAGAAGACUUUUAUUACAGCUGGAGAAUUGAAACAGCAUGAGAGGAUUCACACUAGAGAGAAACCGUAUACAUGUUCACACUGCGACAAGAGCUUCAGUCAGCCAGGAAGCCUGAAAACACAUGAGAGGAUUCACACUGGAGAGAAACCGUAUACGUGUUCACACUGCGACAAGAGCUUCAGUCAGCCAGGAAGCCUGAAAACACAUGAGAGGAUUCACACUGAAGAGAAAAGGUAUACGUGUUCACACUGCGACAAGAGAUUCAGUCAGUCAGGAAGCCUGAAAACACAUGAGAGGAUUCACACUGGAGAGAAACCGUACACAUGUGAUCAGUGUCUGAAGAGUUUCUCACAGUUGAUUACUCUUAAGAAACACAUGAAAAUCCACACUGGAGAAAAGCAGCACACUUGACAUCAAUGCAGCAAAACAGUUUCUCAUCUGGAACGAGUAUUUAUUGUGUGAACAUCAGGAAAUACAGGUGUGAGAGAGAUGAGUGUGGAAAGUCUGUCCAGUUGUUUUGUGUAUUUUGUUUUAUCAAUAAAUUUUCUUUACUCC